rnacentral:tRNA from 1 species
GCGCAGGUGUCGGAACGGUAUACGAGAGCCGCUUAAAACGGCUUGGGCGAAAGCUCUUGCGGGUUCAAGUCCCGCCCUGCGCA